rnacentral:rRNA from 1 species
GACGAACGCUGGCGGCGUGCUUAACACAUGCAAGUCGAACGGAAAGGCCCUGCUUUUGUGGGGUUCUCGAGUGGCGAACGGGUGAGUAACACGUGAGUAACCUGCCCUUGACUUUGGGAUAACUUCAGGAAACUGGGGCUAAUACCGGAUAGGAGCUCCUGCUGCAUGGUGGGGGUUGGAAAGUUUCGGCGGUUGGGGAUGGACUCGCGGCUUAUCAGCUUGUUGGUUGGGUAGUGGCUUACCAAGGCUUUGACGGGUAGCCGGCCUGAGAGGGUGACCGGCCACAUUGGGACUGCGGUACGGACCAGAGUCCUACGGGAGGCAGCAGUGGGGAAUAUGGCACAAUGGGCGGAAGCCUGAUGCAGAAACGCCGCGUGCGGGAUGACGGCCCUCGGGUUGUAAACCGCUUUCGCCUGUGACGAAGCGUGAGUGACGGUAAUGGGUAAAGAAGCACCGGCUAACUACGUG